rnacentral:lncRNA from 1 species
CACAAGCCAGUUUGCUCUAGACUGGCUUCACCCAGAAUGAUACUGGGAAGAUGGGUGCCUUUGUUUCCAUUCCAAAGUCAAAGAAAAUGAAGCAAGAGAUGCUAGGUGAUGGACUUCAACUCCCCAGGGAGAGUCCAGCAUCUCCAAACCUGCAUCCCACCCCUCCUCAAAUGAAUCAUGGCUCCUGAGUGAAGCCUGCAGCCCAGGGCAUGCCCUUGGCACUCUCAUGCUUAAAACUCCUCCCUGGUAUACCCCCCAACCCCAUUCAGACCUCCCUCAUCCUUUAUGUUCCUGCCAGCUAGAUGGCUCCUCUUUGCCCCAACAGGGCUGUGCUGGGCUCCUCCUCUGGUCUCUAUGCAUACCCCAAUAUUUCACUAUUAUUUCCUAUCUCCUUCCCCUGAUCUGCACGCUCCCAGAGGGCCAACUCCAAGGCAGACCCAUUGUCACAUGAUCACAGCUUAGCACACUAAUUGUAGGGGCAAGAAGUCCAUGAUAAGAAUUACAAUUAAAUCACAGAUAUGACAGCACUGCGUUGGACAAGCACAACUGAAACUUUUCUUACCAGUUUUCUAGUCAUCCUUUGCCUGAGAUCCUGAUCCCACCCAAAUCUGGGCCCAUAAAGCCCUAAUGUUUGUUUAGCCCAAAGGGCCAUGUCAUUUC